rnacentral:rRNA from 1 species
AUUGAACGCUGGCGGCAGGCCUAACACAUGCAAGUCGAGCGGAAGAAGGGAGCUUGCUCCUGGAUUCCGCGGCGGACGGGUGAGUAUUGCCCAUGAAUCUGCCUGGUAGUGGGGGAUAACGUCCGGAAACGGGCGCUAAUACCGCAUACGUCCUGCGGGAGAAAGAGGGGGAUCUUCGGACCUCACGCUCUCAGAUGAGCCUAGGUCGGAUUAGCUAGUUGGUGGGGUAAAGGCCUACCAAGGCGACGAUCCGUAACUGGUCUGAGAGGAUGAUCAGUCACACUGGAACUGGGACACGGUCCAGACUCCUACGGGAGGCAGCAGUGGGGAAUAUUGGACAAUGGGCGAAAGCCUGAUCCAGCCAUGCCGCGUGUGUGAAGAAGGUCUUCGGAUUGUAAAGCACUUUAAGUUGGGAGGAAGGGCAGUAAGUUAAUACCUUGCUGUUUUGACGGUACCAGCAGAAUAAGCACCGGCUAACUUCGUG